rnacentral:rRNA from 1 species
UACGUAGGGUGCAAGCGUUGUCCGGAAUUAUUGGGCGUAAAGAGCUCGUAGGCGGUCUGUCGCGUCUGCUGUGAAAACUCAGGGCUUAACCCUGAGCUUGCAGUGGGUACGGGCAGACUAGAGUUCGGUAGGGGAGUCUGGAAUUCCUGGUGUAGCGGUGAAAUGCGCAGAUAUCAGGAGGAACACCCGUAGCGAAGGCGGCACUCUGGGCCGAUACUGACACUG